CCUACGGGUGGCAGCAGUGGGGAAUAUUGGACAAUGGGCGAAAGCCUGAUCCAGCCAUGCCGCGUGUGUGAAGAAGGCCUUCGGGUUGUAAAGCACUUUCAGUGGGGAAGAAAGCCUUGGGGCUAAUACCCUCGAGGAAGGACAUCACCCACAGAAGAAGCACCGGCUAACUCCGUGCCAGCAGCCGCGGUAAUACGGAGGGUGCGAGCGUUAAUCGGAAUUACUGGGCGUAAAGCGCGCGUAGGCGGUCUGAUAAGCCGGUUGUGAAAGCCCCGGGCUCAACCUGGGAACGGCAUCCGGAACUGUCAGGCUAGAGUGCAGGAGAGGAAGGUAGAAUUCCCGGUGUAGCGGUGAAAUGCGUAGAGAUCGGGAGGAAUACCAGUGGCGAAGGCGGCCUUCUGGACUGACACUGACGCUGAGGUGCGAAAGCGUGGGUAGCAAACAGGACUAGAUACCCGAGUAGUC
rnacentral:rRNA from 1 species